CACCCAUUUUACACACACACAUCAACGAUUUUUAAUAAACUGAUCACGUAGUGCAACUAUUGCCAUAAUCUAGUUUUAGGACAUUUCCAUCAUCUCUGUAAGGUACCCUGUGCAAUUUAUAGUUAACUCCCAUUUCCACUUCUGGCAACCACUCACCUCAUGUCUGUCCCUACAGAUUUGCUAUUCUAUACAUUUUUAUUAUUAUUCUGCACAUUUCACAUAAAUGGGAACAUAUACUAUGUGGCCUUUUGUGCCUGGCUUCUUGCAUUUAGAUCAGUAUUUUCUAGGUUCACCCAUGUUGUGGCAUGCAUCGAUACUUUAUUCCUUUUUAUAGCUGAAUGUGACUACAGUAUAUACCACUUUGGCCAUUCACCUGCUGAUGGACACUACAGAUGCUUCCAUCGGAGCAAAACAGACUCAUCCCUGCUGAAGGACAAUCAGAGUCAUCCCCGAGUUAUCUCUGCUGAAUCAUCCCUGCUGAGUCAUCCUUGCUGAGGGGCGGUGCUGAGUCAUCCCUGCUGAGUCAUGUCUGUUGAGGGGCAGUGCUGAGUCAUCCCUGCUGAGUCUGCUGAGUCAUCCCUGUUGAGGGGCAAUGCUGAGUCAUCCCUGCUGAGCCAUCCCUGCUGAGGGGCAGUGCUGAGUCAUCUCUGCAGAGUCAUGCCUGUUGAGGGGCGGUGCUGAGUCAUCCCUGCUGAGUCAUCCCUGCUGAGGGGCAGUGCUGAGUCAUCCCUGCUGAGGGGCAGUGCUGAGUCAUCCCUGCAGUCAUCCCUGUUGAGGGGCAGUGCUGAGUCAUCCCUGCUGAGUCAUCCCUGUUGAGGGGUGGUGCUGAGUCAUCCCUGCUGAGUCAUCCCUGCUGAGGGGCAGUACUAAGCCAUCCCUGAGUCAUGUCUGUUGAGCGGCAGUGCUGAGUCAUCCUUGGUGAGGGGCAGUGCUGAGUCAUCCUUGCUGUGUCAUCGCUGCUAAGGGACACUGCUGAGUCAUCCCUGCUGAGUCAUCCCUGUUGAGGGGCAGUGCUGAGUCAUCCCUGUUGAGGGGCGGUGCUGAGUCAUCCCUGCUGAGGGGCAGUACUAAGCCAUCCCUGAGUCAUGUCUGUUGAGCGGCGGUGCUGAGUCAUCCCUGCUGAGGGGCAGUACUAAGCCAUCCCUGAGUCAUGUCUGUUGAGCGGCAGUGCUGAGUCAUCCUUGCUGAGGGGCAGUGCUGAGUCAUCCUUGCUGUGUCAUCCCUGCUAAGGGACAGUGCUGAGUCAUCUCUGCUGAGUCAUCCCUGUUGAGGGGCAGUGCGGAGUCAUCCCUGUUAAGGGGUAGUGCUUAGUAAGCCCUGCUGAGGGGCAGAGUCAUCAAAGUCAUCUCUGUUGAGGGGUAGUGCUGAGUCAUCCCCGUCUAUGGGCAGAAGAAAGCAGUCUUGGUAACAUUCCAGCUUUUUAACUUUGGUAUGUAAACA
rnacentral:lncRNA from 10 species